rnacentral:rRNA from 1 species
AGUGAACGCUGGCGGUAGGCCUAACACAUGCAAGUCGAACGGCAGCACAGUAAGAGCUUGCUCUUACGGGUGGCGAGUGGCGGACGGGUGAGGAAUACAUCGGAAUCUACUUUUUCGUGGGGGAUAACGUAGGGAAACUUACGCUAAUACCGCAUACGACCUACGGGUGAAAGCAGGGGAUCUUCGGACCUUGCGCGAUUGAAUGAGCCGAUUUCGGAUUAGCUAGUUGGGGGGGUAAAGGCCCACCAAGGCGACGAUCCGUAGCUGGUGUGAGUGGAGGAUCAGCCACACUGGAACUGAGACACGGUCCAGACUCCUACGGGAGGCAGCAGUGGGGAAUAUUGGACAAUGGGCGCAAACCUGAUCCAGCCAUACCGCGUGGGUGAAGAAGGCCUUCGGGUUGUAAAGCCCUUUUGUUGGGAAAGAAAAGCAGCAGGUUAAUACCCCGCUGUUCUGACGGUACCCAAAGAAUAAGCACCGGCUAACUUCGUG